GUACCAUAACCGACACAGGUGGGUAAGUAGAGUAUACUAAGGGGCGCGAGAUAACUCUCUCUAAGGAACUCGGCAAAAUAACUCCGUAACUUCGGGAGAAGGAGUGCCUUAUUCUUAAGGUUGCAAUAACAAGAUCCAAGCAACUGUUUAUCAAAAACACAGGUCUCCGCUAAGUCGUAAGACGAUGUAUGGGGGCUGACGCCUGCCCAGUGCCAGAAGGUUAAAGAAGUCGGUUAGCAAUAGCAAAGCUGGUAACUGAAGCCCUGGUGAACGGCGGCCGUAACUAUAACGGUCCUAAGGUAGCGAAAUUCCUUGUCGGGUAAGUUCCGACCCGCACGAAAGGCGUAAUGAUUUGGAUGCUGUCUCGGAGAGGGGCUCGGUGAAAUAGACUUGUCUGUGAAGAUGCGGACUACCUGCACCAGGACAGAAAGACCCUAUGAAGCUUUACUGUAACUUGAAAUUGAAAUUGGACUUUAUUCGCGCAGUAUAGGUGGGAGGCGUUGAUUAUAAUCUUGUGGGAUUAUUGGAGCCAUCAGUGAGAUACCACUCUUGUAAUGUUAGAUUUCUAACUUUGAAUCAUUAUCUGGUCAAAGGACAGUUUCAGGCGGGCAGUUUGACUGGGGCGGUCGCCUCCUAAACGGUAACGGAGGCGUACAAAGGUUUCCUCUGAAUGGUUAGAAAUCGUAUCUAGAGUGUAAAGGCAUAAGGAAGCUUGACUGUGAGACCUACAAGUCGAGCAGGGACGAAAGUCGGUCUUAGUGAUCUGACGGUACUGAGUGGAAAGGCCGUCACUCAACGGAUAAAAGUUACUCUAGGAUAACAGGCUGAUCUCCCCCAAGAGUUCACAUCGACGGGGAGGUUUGGCACCUCGAUGUCGGCUCAUCGCAUCCUGGGGCGGUAGUACGUCCCAAGGGUUGGGCUGUUCGCCCAUGAAAGCGGUACGCGAGCUGGGUUCAGAACGUCGUGAGACAGUUCGGUCAUAUCCGGUGUAGGCGCUAGAAUAUUGAGAGGAGCCUUCUUUAGUACGAGAGGACCGAGAAGGACAUACCUCUGGUGUACCAGUUAUCGUGCCAACGGUAAACGCUGGGUAGCUAUGUAUGGAGUGGAUAACCGCUGAAAGCAUCUAAGUGGGAAGCCCACCUCAAGAUAAGUAUUCUCAUCACGUAAGUGAGUAAGGUCACGGUAAGACUAACCGUUUGAUAGGCAUUAAGUGUAAGUACAGUAAUGUAUGUGCUGAGAUGUCCUAAUAGACCGAGGACUUGAAU
rnacentral:rRNA from 1 species